rnacentral:lncRNA from 1 species
GGUCAAGUCAACAGCCGGAUGGAGAUAGAUAUAUAGAGUGCAAUAGUAUGGAGAUGGGGGUUUAGCUAGAGAGUGUAGAACAUACCUUAACUUAUGAAUUGAAUCCAUAUAUAUAGAGAAAUGAUGUGAAAUGGGUUAAGGCGGGUUAAUGGGCCUAAGUUCGAGCCCAGUAUGAGGUGAGCAAAGUGAUAGGCACUUCGGCUAGGCUUUUUAUGGCCUCGGUGGCGCCUCGGCUAGGCUUCUUAGAGCCUCGGCUUUGAGGCCCAACACUAAUGGGCCUAGCUCGGGUCCAAUAAGGUGGCCCAAUAUGGAGUGAUAAUUCGUAGGCGUAACAGUAGUCCCCAAAGUCCGAGUCGUGUUAUU